AAUAUUGAUUUAUCUGACUGUGUUACAGCUUCUGCUUAUAAGAUUUUGAUGAAAGACUACUGCAAGUAUGAUCUGAGCUGCAAUAAAUUGAAAAGAGCUUCAGCUAAAAGCACAACAAUCUCAGUAUGUUGUAUUCCGACAAUCCGAAUUGGCCCCUGCUCUAUGUUGGUUUCCAAAACAAAGACAUAUAUUCCAUGAUAUCCCUAAAGAGUACCAAACUACAUAUUAUACAAAUGGACUCAUACCUGGUAACUCAACUCAAAUCCUUGAUACAUCCAAGAAAAUUACUUGAACUGCAUCAAAAUUGAUCGAACCAUGCUUGAACAUGGAGAAAAUGAUUCAGAUGACUCAUUGAUGACUUCUGAAUGUGCAACUGAGAGUCUGCAUUGCAAUUUUUUUAAUCUUGUGAUCACUCUUUCUCCCGUUGGAGAGUAUUGAAGAUUGCCACAAUUGAUUCAAGAAGCUCUAACCCAAAAAAGUCGAUCCUAGCAACAAAGGAGUACAUCUAAAUGAGAACACUCGGUUUUUUCAUAUAAUAGCUUUUAGAUAGAAGUGUUGCAAAAUCAAGGAAAUAGAGGAACUUACACAUAGAGACGGACACAUCAAAAUAAUUGAGAAGGGUACGACCAAGAAUUACACGAUUAUUCAGAAGAAGUGGAAAGAGAAAUACAAAUUGAUGAAGAAGAGGAACCAAUGACCCCUAUUGGGAUACAUAGAUCUCGACAGUCAUCAACAAGAUCACAUGAAGAACAGCAACAACAACAAAGACAAGCUCGUGGUAAACGAGUCAAUUUUCAAACUAUCGGUGGUGUUACGGGAUCUUUUAACAAACAUUUGGCAAAGAAGCAUGGAAUCACAAAAGAAACUCAUGCAGCAAGCGGCAGCGGGACCACAAGUGGAAGCCGAUAGUGGGACAUUCCCAGCGGAAGUAUGCCUUUUAAAUAUAAUCGUAAUGAUAUGAUUGAUGAAUUUUCUAAAUAUGUAAUUUGUGAUGAAUUGCCAUUUAACCAUGAUGAAAGUAGGGCAUACGAGCAUUACACUAGAAAAACUUUGCAACCACAAUAUAGAGCAAUCCCAAGGAACACUCUUAAACGACGCACAAUUAAAUUAUAUGAAUCAAUGCGCUAUGAGUUGUAGAAAUGUUUAAAUCUUUUAAUGGUAGGGUUAGCAUAACAACUGAUAUUGGGUUUGCUCCCUCACAUUUAGAAGCUUAUAUGUGUGUAAGAGCACAUUGGAUUGAUCAAAAUUGGAUUAUUCAAAAAAGAAUAAUUGCUUUUGAGGUAAUGCUCGAAAGACAUACGGGUGAAAACAUAAAAUACAGAUUAAUAGAGAUAUGUAAAGAAUGGAACUUGUUAGAUAAGAUAUUUUAUUGUUCUACCGAUAAUGCAUCCGCCAACAUUAAAUGAAUUGAACUUUUGUAUA